rnacentral:rRNA from 1 species
GCAAGUCGAGGGGAAACGACAUCGAAAGCUUGCUUUUGAUGGGCGUCGACCGGCGCACGGGUGAGUAACGCGUAUCCAACCUGCCCACCACUUGGGGAUAACCUUGCGAAAGUAAGACUAAUACCCAAUGACGUCUCUAGAAGACAUCUGAAAGAGAUUAAAGAUUUAUCGGUGAUGGAUGGGGAUGCGUCUGAUUAGCUUGUUGGCGGGGUAACGGCCCACCAAGGCGACGAUCAGUAGGGGUUCUGAGAGGAAGGUCCCCCACAUUGGAACUGAGACACGGUCCAAACUCCUACGGGAGGCAGCAGUGAGGAAUAUUGGUCAAUGGACGAGAGUCUGAACCAGCCAAGUAGCGUGCAGGAUGACGGCCCUAUGGGUUGUAAACUGCUUUUAUAAGGGAAUAAAGUGAGUCUCGUGAGACUUUUUGCAUGUACCUUAUGAAUAAGGACCGGCUAAUUCCGUGCCAGCAGCCGCGGUAAUACGGAAGGUCCGGGCGUUAUCCGGAUUUAUUGGGUUUAAAGGGAGCGUAGGCCGGAGAUUAAGCGUGUUGUGAAAUGUAGACGCUCAACGUCUGCACUGCAGCGCGAACUGGUUUCCUUGAGUACGCACAAAGUGGGCGGAAUUCGUGGUGUAGCGGUGAAAUGCUUAGAUAUCACGAAGAACUCCGAUUGCGAAGGCAGCUCACUGGAGCGCAACUGACGCUGAAGCUCGAAAGUGCGGGUAUCGAACAGGAUUAGAUACCCUGGUAGUCCGCACGGUAAACGAUGGAUGCCCGCUGUUGGUCUGAAUAGGUCAGCGGCCAAGCGAAAGCAUUAAGCAUCCCACCUGGGGAGUACGCCAGGCAACG